AGUCUGGGAGCUCCGGCCGUUGCCCUGGAGACGCCGGUCGAGUUCCGGGGAGCAAGGGCUGUGUGUGUCUGCUAAGUGUGCGCACGGCUCCCGUGAGCGCGAGGAGGUGGAACCACGCGAGAAGACCCGCUCUUCCCCUUCCUCCCGGGCGCGGUGGGCCGAAGCCAGGCUCGAGACCCGAAGGCACGGGCGCGGGUCUUCUGCCCACGCUGGCUUCUUCUCGCUUCCCGCAGCCUCGCCCGGUGGCGCCUAGGGUGGGUCACAGUGACCGCAGCUCGAAGCCAUCCCUUUCGGUGCGUCCUUUCGUUCACCUUCACCGCAGCCCAGCGAGGUGGGCCUGAGCACUGUGCCGUUCCGUUCCUGGCUCCUCCUGAACCCUUCUGUCCUGUUUGCUCUGCAGGGGACUGUCGUGUCCCAGGGAUGGGAAGUGAUCCUCCGUGGUGGUGCUGAAUCUCUGAAUAUGAUUCGAAUUGCAGCCUUAAAUGCCAGCUCCACGAUUGAGGAUGACCAUGAAGGAAGCUUCAAAAGUCACAAAAUCCAGACAAAGGAGGCUCAGGAAGCAGAAGCCUUUGCCCUAUACCACAAGGCCCUGGAUCUACAAAAACAUGACAGGUUCGAGGAGUCCGCCAAGGCCUACCACGAGCUUCUGGAGGCUCGCCUGCUGCGGGAGGCAGUGUCAUCCGGAGAUGAGAAGGAAGGGCUGAAACACCCUGGACUGAUACUGAAAUAUUCUACAUAUAAGAACCUGGCCCAGCUGGCGGCCCAGCGAGAGGACCUGGAGACCGCCAUGGAAUUUUAUUUGGAGGCAGUGAUGCUGGAUUCCACAGACGUCAACCUUUGGUACAAAAUUGGACACGUCGCCCUGAGGCUCAUCCGGCUUCCCCUGGCUCGCCAUGCUUUUGAGGAAGGGCUUCGGUGUAACCCUGACCACUGGCCCUGCCUGGACAAUCUCAUCACUGUUUUGUACACCCUCAGUGAUUACACAACAUGUCUUUACUUCAUCUGCAAAGCCCUGGAGAAAGACUGCCGGUACAGCAAAGGCCUGGUCCUCAAGGAGAAGAUUUUUGAAGAGCAGCCUUGUCUCCGAAAGGACUCCCUCCGAAUGUUUCUCAAGUGUGACAUGUCGAUUCACGAUGUGUCAGUGAGUGCAGCAGAGACGCAGGCCAUUGUAGAUGAGGCUCUGGGGCUGCGGAAGAAGAGGCAAGCGUUGAUCGUGCGGGAAAAGGAACCAGACCUGAAACUAGUGCAGCCCAUCCCUUUCUUCACGUGGAAGUGCCUUGGGGAGAGCUUGCUUGCCAUGUACAGUCACCUCACCACCUGUGAGCCCCCGAGGCCCAGCCUUGGGAAGAGGAUUGACCUGUCUGACUACCAGGAUCCCAGCCAGCUGCUAGCAUCCUCUGUAGUGGUUACACCUGUCAGUGUGGUCCAGCCAAGUCCUAUUUGCACCAAUCCAACUGUUGCCGUGGCUGAGCCUGUGCUCUCCUACACCUCUGUGACCGCAGCUAGCUUCCCACUGCACAGUCCCAGCCUGCUGGACACAGGCACUCCUAUGGGUGAUGUUUCUGGAGGAGAUAAGUCUAAGAAAGGGGUAAAGCGUAAGAAGACUGUAGAGGAAAGUGGAGAGACAGCAAAGCGGAGGUCUGCCCGGGUCCGAAACACCAAGUGCAAAAAAGAAGAGAAAGUGGAUUUCCAGGGACUGCUAGUAAAGUUCCUGCCGUCCAGGUUAAGAAAACUGGACCCUGAGGAGGAAGAUGAUCCAUUUAAUAACUAUGAAGUUCAGGCAGAAGCCAAACUGGAGAGCUUCUCCAAUGUGGGACCUCAUCGCCUGUCCUUCGACUCAGCCACAUUCAUGGAAUCUGAGAAGCAGGAUGUGCAUGCGUUCCUGAUGGAGAACCUGACCAACGGGGGCCUCCUGGAGCUUAUGAUGCGUUAUCUGAAGAGCAUGGGCCACAAGUUCCUGCUCAAGUGGCCCCCAGGGCUGGCGGAUGUCGUCCUUAGCGUUUACCACAGCUGGAGGAGGCAUAGCACCAGCCUGCCCAACCCAUUGCUGAGGGACUGCAGCAACAAGCACAUCAAGGACAUGAUGCUGAUGUCUCUCUCCUGCAUGGAGCUCCAACUGGACCAGUGGUUACUGACCAAAGGCAGAAGCUCCGCAGUGUCUCCCCGGAACUGCCCUGCUGGUGUGGUGACAGGCAGGUUUGGGCCUGACUUCCCGGGCACCCACUGCCUGGGUGACCUCCUGCAGCUGUCAUUUGCAUCAUCUCAGCGGGACCUGUUUGAGGAUGGCUGGCUGGAGUUUGUUGUCCGUGUUUACUGGCUGAAGGCACGUUUCUUGGCACUACAGGGAGACAUGGAACAAGCCUUGGAGAACUAUGAUAUCUGCACAGAAAUACUGCAGAGCUCCAGUGCUAUCCAAGCCCAGGCAGGGGCUGAGCAAGGGGACAUAGUCAUCCGGCUGCCCAACCUUCACAAUGACUCCGUUGUCUCUCUGGAGGAAAUUGAUAAGAACCUGAAGUCUCUGGAAAGGUGCCAGUCCCUGGAGGAGAUCCAGCGGCUGUUUGAGGCAGGUGACUACAAGGCUGUGGUGCAUCUGCUCCGGCCCACUUUGUGUACCAGUGGGUUUGACCGAGCCAAACACCUGGAGUUUAUGACGUCCAUUCCUGAGAGGCCAGCCCAGCUGCUUCUGCUGCAGGACUCAUUGCUGCGGCUGAAGGACCACAGACAGUGUUUUGAAUGUUCUGAUGUGGCUCUGAAUGAAGCUGUCCAGCAGAUGCUGAACUCAAGUGAAUCUGCAGCCAAGGAAGAGUGGGUGGCCACAGUGACCCAACUGCUGCUAGGCAUCGAGCAAGCACUGUCGUCAGACAGCAGUGGCAGUAUCCUUAAGGAGUCAUCCUCGACCACUGGCCUUGUCCGCCUCACCAACAACCUCAUUCAGGUCAUCGACUGCAGCAUGGCUGUGCAAGAGGAGCCCAAGGAACCCUAUGUCUCCUCCGUGCUGCCCUGGAUCAUCCUGCACAGGAUCAUCUGGCAGGAGGAAGACACUUUCCGCUCCCUGUGCCACCAGCAGCAGCUCCAGAACCCAACAGAAGAAGGGAUACCGGAGAUGCCCAUGCUCCCAUCUUCCCUCAUGCUACUCAACACAGCACAUGAGUACCUGGGCAGGAGGUCCUGGUGCUGCAAUUCAGAUGGAGCUCUGCUGCGAUUCUAUGUGCAAGUUCUCCAAAAGGAGCUUGCUGCGUCAGCCUCUGAAGACACUCACCCCUACAAGGAGGAGCUGGAGACUGCCUUGGAGCAGUGUUUCUACUGCCUGUACAGCUUCCCCAGCAAGAAGAGCAAGGCCAGGUACCUGGAGGAACACUCAGCCCAGCAGGUGGAUCUUAUAUGGGAGGAUGCCCUGUUUAUGUUUGAGUAUUUUAAGCCCAAGACCCUCCCUGAAUUUGAUAGCUACAAGACAAGCACUGUUUCUGCUGACUUGGCAAACCUGUUGAAGAGAAUUGCUACCAUUGUGCCCCGCACAGAGAAGCCAGCUCUGAGCAUGGACAAAGUCUCUGCCUACAUUGAGGGAACCUCAGCUGAGGCGCCCUGCCUUCCAGAAGGAGCGGACCCCACCCCUCCCGUGCUGAAUGAGCUCUACUACCUCCUGGCUGACUACCAUUUCAAGAACAAGGAGCAGUCUAAAGCCAUCAAGUUCUACAUGCAUGACAUCUGCAUCUGCCCUAACAGGUUUGACUCCUGGGCGGGAAUGGCUCUGGCCCGGGCCAGCCGAAUUCAGGACAAGCUGAACUCAAAUGAGCUGAAGAGUGAUGGGCCCAUCUGGAAACAUGCCACACCUGUUCUCAACUGCUUCCGGAGGGCCCUUGAGAUUGACAGCUCUAAUUUGUCCUUGUGGAUUGAGUAUGGUACCAUGUCCUAUGCCUUACACUCUUUCGCAUCCCGUCAGCUGAAGCAGUGGAGAAGUGAGCUGCCCCCGGAGCUUGUGCAGCAGAUGGAGGAUCGGCGAGACAGCAUGCUGGAGACAGCCAGGCACUGUUUCACGUCUGCAGCCCGCUGUGAGGGCGAUGGUGAUGAGGAGGAGUGGCUCAUUCACUACAUGCUGGGCAAGGUGGCUGAGAAGCAGCAGCAGCCGCCAACUGUGUACCUGCUGCACUACCGGCAGGCUGGCCACUACUUACACGAGGAGGCUGCCCGGUACCCGAAGAAGAUUCACUACCACAACCCACCUGAGCUGGCCAUGGAAGCCCUGGAGGUGUACUUCCGGCUCCAUGCGUCCAUCCUGAAGCUCCUGGGCAAACCUGACUCUGGGGUUGGUGCAGAGGUCCUGGUCAGCUUUAUGAAGGAGGCAGCAGAAGGACCUUUUGCCAGGGGCGAGGAGAAGAAUACGCCCAAAGCUUCAGAAAAGGAGAAGGCCUGCCUGGUGGAUGAGGACUCCCACUCUUCAGCUGGGACACUGCCGGGCCCCGGAGCCUCCCUUCCCUCCUCCUCUGGCCCAGGUCUGACAUCCCCACCUUACACAGCCACUCCGAUUGACCACGAUUACGUCAAAUGUAAAAAACCCCAUCAGCAGGCGGCGCCGGACGACCGAAGCCAGGACAGCACAGCUGUGGCACUGUCAGACUCCAGCUCAACACAGGACUUCUUUAAUGAGCCCACAAGUUUGCUGGAAGGUUCUCGAAAGCUCUUUCCAGAGAAGAGGCUGUCUGGGCUCAGUGCUCAAGCAGGACCAAGUGGUAAAGAUCUUCCGGGGCCCACAGAAGAAAGAGGAAAAACAGAAGAGUCCUUGGAGAGCACAGAGGCCUUCCGGGUUGUAGAACAAAGCGUCCAGAAGCCUGUGGCAGACUCCUCAGCCUCUGCUUACAUCCCCAGCAAGCCCCCAGCGUCCACACCUCCUUUGUGGGAUGGGAAGAAGAGGGGUGAUUCCCUAGGGGAGCCGGUGGCUUUUCCCCAGGGGCUGCCAGCGGGUGCUGAGGAGCAGCGCCAGUUCCUUACAGAGCAGUGCAUCUCCUCCUUCUGCCUGUGCUUGAGCCGCUUCCCACAGCACUACAAGAGUCUCUACCGGCUGGCCUUCCUCUACACCUACAGCAAGACUCACCGGAACCUCCAGUGGGCCCGUGAUGUGUUGCUAGGCAGCAGUAUCCCAUGGCAACAGCUGCAGCACAUGCCGGCACAGGGGCUCUUCUGCGAGAGGAACAAGACCAAUUUCUUCAACGGCAUCUGGCGGAUCCCCGUGGAUGAGAUUGACCGGCCAGGCAGCUUUGCCUGGCACAUGAACCGCUCCAUCGUGCUGCUGCUCAAGGUUCUAGCCCAGCUCCGCGACCACAGCACCCUGUUGAAGGUGUCCUCCAUGCUGCAGCGGACACCAGACCAGGGCAAGAAAUAUCUGCGAGAUGCUGACCGCCAGGUCCUGGCACAGCGCGCCUUCAUCCUCACUGUGAAAGUGUUGGAGGACACACUGAGUGAGCUUGCAGAGGGGUCAGAACACCCAGGAUCCAAGGCCUGCGGCCUCUCUGGAGCCAGGAUGACCACUGAUGUCUCGCACAAAGCCAGUCCCGAGGAUGGCCAGGAAAGCCCCCAACACCCCAAGAAGCUACCUCUAGCUGAUGGCUCAGGACCAGGGCCUGAGCCAGGGGGCAGGAUGGGCCCUCUUAACCAAUUGCCAGUGGUCACAGACAUAAGGGACAACACAGACCAGGGUGGGGAGCAGAAAGACAAAGAGAGUCCCCAGGUGGGGCCCACUGAACCCAUGGAUACCAGUGAGGCUGCUGGUCGCCACUCAGACUUGGAACAGACAUCACGUCUGUUGCCGGGCCGCCCCCCAAGGGACCGGGGCCCUGAGAGCCGGUCUGCUGAGCUUUCCUUAGAGGAGCUGAGUAUCAGCACCCGGCAACAGCCCGCUCCACUGGCCCCAUCCCCAGCAGCCCCCACCACAACUGCUGCUCCCACUACCAUGGCGGCCAGGGGAGCGGGGCACUCUGAGGAGGCACCUCCAAGGCCUAAUCGGAAAAGGAAACUCCUGGAGGACACGGAGUCUGGCAAGACUCUCCUACUGGAUGCCUACCGUGUGUGGCAGCAGGGCCAGAAGGGCAUGGCCUAUGACCUGAGCCGCAUCGAGAAGAUCAUGUCGGAGACUUACAUGCUCAUCAAGCAGGUGGAUGAGGAGACUGCACUGGAGCAGGCUGUGAAGUUCUGUCAGGUCCACCUUGGGGCCGCUACCCAGAGACAGGCCUCAGGAGAUACGCCCACUACCCCCAAGCACCCCAAGGACAGCAGAGAGAAUUUCUUCCCUGCAACAGUGGUCCCCACGGUACCUGACCCCACAGCACCUGAUGCUCUCCAGAGGCCCAGUGACUCCCACCUCAAGCCUGUAUUGGCUACUGUCAUCACCUGCCCUCCCUCAGCUUCAGCCUCUAUCCCAGACCUAUCCACAGAUCCUGGAAUUCCCCGGCCACACAGGCCAGAGACUACCCCCAGCAGGGCCCCUUUAAGUCCUGGUAAGUGCCAUCUCAGUUCACCUGAGCCAAGUCCCCUCUGCCAGGUGCCACAAAUCCUUCCCCUCUAGAAUUGGCAAAGAAGCAUAUGGGGUGCCCUCCAGCACCCCCAGGCUUACCCUGGGGCUAUUGGCUGUUAGUCCAGGUCAUAGUUGCUAGCAAUAUUGGUGGUUCUUGCCCCCUGUGCCUGUCCUGCCUGCACGUGGAAGGACCAGGAGAGGGAGCAUGUACCAUCGCUGAAGGGUUUGCCAUGUCCUAGCCUCUGCCCCAGCAGAGCCCCAAAAUAGGAAAGUUGGCUUUAUCAGUAGUAGAAAGGAAGCCAGUGUAGACCAGGCUGCUAUGGAAGGCUCUGGCCUUGGCAGGCUUUGAGGCCCCAGGUAAUGUCCAGGACCAGAUAUGUUCCCACUGGUGGCAUGACAAGUUGAAGGCAGAGCCAGGUCAAUGGAUCUGUGAAGAAACACAGGAUGGGAUGGAGGUGCACAGGCUGACUCAGUCAGGUGGAAACCCUCAUUUCUUCUGAAGAUCAAGAGCCACCAGGCAGGGUGGCCAGCAUGGCAGGCAGGACGUGUUCUGGAACCUUCCUAGGAGGAAGAAGGCCUCAGUGGGCAAGAUGCCGUCCUCUUCACUGCCGCAGCUACUUCUCUGGCUUUGUGGUUGGUGGUGUCUGACUCUGCCCACCCCCAGGCAUGCUCCCUGUUGACCGUGGGCUGUGACAGACUCUGACAUAACAGCUCACUUUUCCAGCAGAGACUAGUCUUCCACCCUUCCUUCCCUCACCCUGGUUCAGGUCCUGAUCAGUGUCCUAUGCUCCAUAGUUGCGUGGUCACCUGCCCAAACCGGAGCCAUCUGUUAAGGUUCGCCUGUCCUCCCAGCCACAUUGGGAGCUGCCACCUUCAGCCAUGGGACCUUGCCUUUGUCUCCUAUUUCAUCUGCACAGUGGGACAGUGAGCCUCUAUCUGUGCUGCCUGAUUGGAGACUGGGUUGGAAGCGCCCCUCUCAGCUCCUUCUGGGGCUCGGUGCCAGGCACCGGGAUUUUCAGCAGAUGCUCUCCCCAGGUUACCUUGAGGAUUGUGCCAGGUUAGGGACCCAGUCACUCACCAUUUGUUCCAGAGGAACCUCUGAAGGCCACAGGACAGGGCGGUUGGCAGUUGGGCUCAGAGGGAGAAGAGGCAUCAGGAGUGACGGAGGGCACCAGCAUUCUACCCCAAGAACCACGCUACAGUCACCAGAUAAAAAUGGCUGCCACAGGUCACCUGGCUGAGCAACACUGCUGGCCAGUGGAGGUUGCUUGCCAGACAGGAGCUGAGCCCACCUGCAGCCAAGCCUCCAGCACUAAGGUCCCCAGCAGUGGAAGUACUCAGACGGCUGAGAGCCAUCAAGGCAAAACUGAGUCCAGCAGGGCCAAAUCCCGCCUCCUGCCCAACAUGCCAAAGCUGGUGAUCCCCUCGGCCACCACCAAGUCCCCUCCUGAGAUCACCGUCACACCACCUACCCCUACCCUGCUUUCCCCCAAAGGCAGCAUCUCGGAGGAGACCAAGCAGAAGCUGAAGUCAGCCAUCCUGUCUGCCCAAUCCGCUGCCAAUGUGAGGAAGGAGAGCCUGUGCCAGCCAGCCCUGGAGGUUCUGGAGACAUCCAGCCAGGAGUCCUCACUGGAGAGCGAGACAGACGAGGAUGAUGACUUCAUGGACGUAUGAAGGAGUCCACCCAGAGGCCUGCAGCCAUAGCAGGGCAACAGCAAGGCCUGGGAUCCCUUUGUCCAGACCCUGGGCAAGGCCAGAAGCCUAUGUGAGGUAGCGUGUCCUGUGGUCUCCUAAGCUGCCCAGCCCCCUCUUUACAGCACCCUGCCUGGGUCCAGGCUGUCCACACAUUGUGUUGGUCCAGAGGAAGAUAAGGCCUGUCUUAGGCACGUACGUGCACUGGCUGUGUUUUGCGCAGUAGGGAUGGCACUUCUUUUUGUAAUGAAAUACUGACUUUCUUUCCAAGCCCAUGUCCGGCUGAUCAGGCCCACAGCCGAGUGCCCAGGGAGGCCAGCUUGGGUUCUGGUAGAGACAUUAUCAGGAGCCCAGCUCACCCCACACCCUUUUUUUGUCAUUGUUGCUUCUUUUUCUAAUAAAGGUGGAAAAUAGU